CACUAAGAAGCUAACACCAGCACUAGCCUUUUAAGCUAGAGAGGGAGACUAAUUUCCCUUAGUGA
rnacentral:tRNA from 1 species